AACAUGCUGUUCCCCAAUGUAUUCCUUUUUUUCUAACUUUCCUCUUUGCUUCAUAUUUCUGUAUACCUUAUGAAGUCCAUAAUGAAAAAGAAAUAGGAGGAGAAUGUUUCCUUUACACCGUGCAUAAAUGGCUGAAGUGUACUUAGGAACUGAAGGGUCUCGAUUUUCUGACUGCCCAGCCCCAGUGGAAUGCACAUUACAGCAACACAUCAGGAAGAAAAAAAGAUACUUUAGGGCUCUCCUGCAAAGCACUGCAAUAUUACUUUCCUGACAAGGACAAGAUUCUUCUUAAAAGAUACUCCUCUCCAUAGCAUAAGUGAGGAGCCCACUGAGAAAAGGUUGGAUGCAAGAAAAGGAAGUACUGGAAAGAUCAAAGAAACAACACUACAAAACAUAGAAGACUGAAACCAUGACUGCUAAGGCUGGAGAAUCCUGAGAAG